UCUUCACUACUCUGUGUCCUGUGCUCCUACAGGCCCAGCCUCUGUGGCCCUGUGACCUGCAGGUAUUGGGAGAUCCACAGCUAAGACACCAGGACCCCUGGAAGCCUAGAAAUGGUGCACGCCUGUUAUCCCAGCACUUUGGGAGGCCAAGGUGGGUGGAUCCCGAGGUCAGGAGAUCGAGACCAUCUGGCCAACAUGGUGAAAUCCCAUCUCUACUAAAAUACAAAAAAUUAGCCAGGCAUGGUGGCCCAUGCCUGUAGUACGAGCUACUCAGGAGGUUGAGGCAGGGGAAUCACUAGAACCCAGGAGGCACUCCAGCCUGGGAGACAGAGUGAGACUCCAUCUCAAAAUAUAUAUAUAUUUCCAAAUAUUCAGUUUGGUCUUAUUAUAUUGACAUUGUUAUGCAACAUAUCACUAGAGUGUUUUUUAUCUUGCAAAGCUAAAUCUCAGUACACAGUAAAUAACUACCAAUCCUUUGUAUUUUGUGGUUCUUUUCAAACACCACUCUGUUUUCUGUUUCUAAGAGUAUAACUGCUUUAUAUAUCUCAUCCAAUCUCUGUCUUUUUGCGGCUGGGUCACUUUAUUUUGCAUAAUGUCAUCAAUAUUUAUCUUAAUAGUUGUUACAGUAUUUUCUGCUUUUUGAAAACUGAGUGAUAAUUCCUGUACUUUUGUGUCUACUGAAUGAUUUGGUGACACAAAUUUCGAUUACUUUUACCUAGUGGCUUGCAGUAACAAUGCUACAAUAAUUAUGUGAAAGUUAAUGUAAUAUAUUUGCUGCAUUCUGUUUUAUUAGUCUACUUUUUCACCUUUAUACUCAUACCAAAUUAUUUUAAUUCUGUAGCUUUUUGAUGUGUUUUGAAAUCAGAAAUGGUAUUGCCUGUAACAUUGUUCCUGUUUUUGAAGAUUGCUGGGUACUUUAUUGUCUGUUUGGAUUCCAUAUACUUUUAAAUUUGUUGUUUUUAUUUCUUUGAAAAUGCUGUGAGUCAUUUGAAAGACAUUGCAUUAAAUCUGUAGAUUAAAUUGAGCAGUAAAGACAUCUUCAAAAUAUUGUUUUUCAAUUGUUUGUUUUUGAGAUGGAGUUAAAUUUACCUGCCUUACCAGUU
rnacentral:lncRNA from 10 species